rnacentral:rRNA from 1 species
UACAGAGGGUGCGAGCGUUAAUCGGAAUUACUGGGCGUAAAGCGCGCGUAGGCGGCUUUGCAAGUCGGGUGUGAAAUCCCCAGGCUCAACCUGGGAACUGCACUCGAGACUGCAUUGCUAGAGUAUGGGAGAGGGAAGUGGAAUUUCCGGUGUAGCGGUGAAAUGCGUAGAUAUCGGAAGGAACAUCAGUGGCGAAAGCGACUUCCUGGACCAAUACUGACGCUCAUGUGCGAAAGCGUGGGGAGCAAACAGG